UUUGUUGAUUUUGUUUGACAACAAAUAAGUCCAACAUCGCUUGAGCUGGUUUCUUCUCGUGGGUGUUUUACUAAUUAUCCUCACAAUACGAAGGUGCAUGGUGUUAAGAUUGACAUUUGAGCAGCUUGUGACUGAGAGUGGUUUGUGGACCAUGGCAGCCUUUUGACCAUAGCGGCCUGCAAACUAAGGAGCACUUUGAUCUCAAUUGCUGCGACCGAAGAGACUGAGAGUGUUGGGAGUUCAGAAGUGUUCAAGUUUACCAAUAUCUAUCUGCUCUGGCCAGAUUUAUGCACUGCAGCUCCUACUGUCACCAGAAGAAUAACACCUGCAGUGCCAACACUCAGUGGCAUUAGAGCUCAUGUGUCAGAAAUAUCGCAUACAUGGUACCAUCAGCAGUGUCAUGAAAUUUAUUACAUUAUUAUAAAUAUUACAUGUACAGGGGUAAGAUUUGCUUCAGUCCAUUUCAACAUCCUGAUUAUAACAUCCACAUCCUCAACAUCCUUUGGGUGGAUGUUUACUCAACUCCUUCAAAUUUUGUCAUGUGUUGCCAUACCAUCAUUUGCAGUAAACAUACUUUCAUCUGAAGCACUGUACAUGUAUUGUCAACAUCACAUGCACUAUAUUAUCAUCAUCUCAUGCACUGUUUAAAAAAAUGGUGUAUCAUUGAUUGAUUUUAAGAUCUUAGUACUUAUUAAUAAUGUAUUGUGUAUAAGUGUUAUAAAUGUUUUUAAUAUUUUUAUUUGGCAAGAAAAUAUUUCGAGGUUAUUUAAUUGAAUAAUUUUGUAGGAUAAAUUAAUUCUGCUCUUAGUGUCAAAACUUUAACUAACAUUUUUCAUUACAAAACAUCACACACACACUAUUUCCUCUAUAUGAACUACUGUAUUGAAAGAGUAUUCAAAAAAGAAAAUAGAUAUCUGUGUAGUUUAUAGUAAAUAUGGAUUCAUAUCUUUGACAGGUAAUUUAAUCUUGAAGUUCAUUGGGCACAUUCUUGUAAACACCACACACAUGUUCACACAAAUUACAAACCAUAUGUGCUUGAUUCUUGUGCUGUGGCUGUAUUUAUAAUAAGACAUCUCUCAGUACAGCAAUAAAAUAUAUAGUUCACAAAGUCAAGCACAGAUGCUAAUUUUGCUGCUGUUGGCUGCAUCUGAAAGAGUGUAUUUGUAUGUCUCUUGUUACACCCGGUAAUUCACAGAAAAUAUUGUACAGCAUAUUUUAUAAUAUAAAACACUUUUCUUAGUAAUUGUGAAUCAUUAACACCAGUGGGAUACAUAUUAUAAAAUUUUACAUUCUGUUUUUUUUAUGUCCUGACAGUUAUUUGCUUUAUAUUCAUGCAAAAGGAAUGGGAUUUUUUCCAGUAGCUUAAUUGACCUUCGAUGCUAUCUGGUGACAGCAGAAGUAACACUUCAUAACCUGGCUGCUCUAGGCUGGUUGCCGUGUAACAUAUUACCUGUCUAUCCCACAAAUCAAGUGUUUAGCAUCUUUAACAACAUUUGCUUUUGUAAUAUGCAAAAGCUUGUGCAAACUAAAAACUACAUCAUAAAUAUGUUAUUUAGACUUUUCUCUAAUAUUUAUAAAGGCAACUAGAAUUUAUUCAGGAGAGUAAUAGUAAAAAUGUUUACAAGACUUUUCUAAUAAGCUGUAGAUGUUUCAUUAGAGGUAAUACUUUAGAAUUUUUUGGAUCAAAUAACAAUUCAGAUCUGUAUAUGGGAGUAAACUGUACAGAAACAUAUAAUGAAGAAAAACCCCAUCAUUGUUGAAUGUUCAAAAAUGGCAUAUAAAAAAUUUAAUAUACAGUAAUAUCAUACAAGAAUUUAAAACUACUUUCAGAAAUAUCAAAAGUUAAUUA
rnacentral:lncRNA from 1 species